rnacentral:rRNA from 1 species
UACGUAGGGGGCAAGCGUUGUCCGGAAUCAUUGGGCGUAAAGAGCGUGUAGGCGGCUCGGUAAGUCCGCUGUGAAAGUCCAGGGCUCAACCCUGGAAUGCCGGUGGAAACUGUCGAGCUAGAGUCCGGAAGAGGCGAGUGGAAUUCCUGGUGUAGCGGUGAAAUGCGCAGAUAUCUGGAAGAACACCAAAGGCGAAGGCAGUGUCCUGGGUGGUCGCUGACGCUGAGAGGCGAAAGCCAGGGGAGCGAACGGG